rnacentral:rRNA from 1 species
GAUGAACGCUGGCGGCGUGCUUAACACAUGCAAGUCGAACGGAGGACCCCUGAACGAGUUUUCGGACAAGGGAAGGGAAUCCUUAGUGGCGGACGGGUGAGUAACGCGUGAGGAACCUGCCUUGGAGAGGGGAAUAACACAGAGAAAUUUGUGCUAAUACCGCAUGAUGCAGUACUAUCGCAUGGUAGAACUGCCAAAGAUUUAUCGCUCUGAGAUGGCCUCGCGUCUGAUUAGCUGGUUGGCGGGGUAACGGCCCACCAAGGCGACGAUCAGUAGCCGGACUGAGAGGUUGGCCGGCCACAUUGGGACUGAGACACGGCCCAGACUCC